rnacentral:rRNA from 1 species
GACGAACGCUGGCGGCGUGCUUAACACAUGCCAGUCGAACGGGAAGGCCCUGCUUUUGUGGGGUGCUCGAGUGGCGAACGGGUGAGUAACACGUGAGUAACCUGCCCUUGACUUUGGGAUAACUUCAGGAAACUGGGGCUAAUACCGGAUAGGAGCUCCUGCUGCAUGGUGGGGGUUGGAAAGUUUCGGCGGCUGGGGAUGGACUCGCGGCUUAUCAGCUUGUUGGUGGGGUAGUGGCUUACCAAGGCUUUGACGGGUAGCCGGCCUGAGAGGGUGACCGGCCACAUUGGGACUGAGAUACGGCCCAGACUCCUACGGGAGGCAGCAGUGGGGAAUAUUGCACAAUGGGCGGAAGCCUGAUGCAGCAACGCCGCGUGCGGGAUGACGGCCUUCGGGUUGUAAACCGCUUUCGCCUGUGACGAAGCGUGAGUGACGGUAAUGGGUAAAGAAGCACCGGCUAACUACGUG